UAUUAAAAUACUUUAAAGUAUACUGGGAAAAAUGCUCUUUUCAAAAUACUUUUGCCAACUGCUCAUGUUACAGUAAUGCAGGAAGUGCUAUGAUUUCCUCUGGUAAAUGGUGGUACCGUGUAACAAAAUAUCCAGGAUACAAGUUGAUGCUUGUUUUUAGAUGUCUAGAGAAUCAGAGAGGGGGGGAAAAAGAAUGAGGAAAUGCUGAGUGAUUGAUUACAUGGGAGCAAGUACUCAAGUUAUUAGUUUCAAAACAAUGCAAACCCAAUCCUGUAUCUUCCUUUCUCUAAUAAAUUCAGAAUGAGCUUCAGUGGAGCAAAUUUCCUAGCCAGCGCAUUGGGAAUCAACAACAAAACAAGAUGGUUGCCUGUGAGGGGACCUCUGAUCUUCCAUUGUUGCAAGAAGGCUCCUCUUUCUCUGUGAUAGAUUCUCCAUCUCUACCAAUGUGGAAAAGAGGCUCUGGGGUAGAGGGAGAGUAGAGAUUCUGAGCAGGGGGAGGAGCUGUUCUAAGUGCCUUCACAUGGCCACAGUUACUAUAGCAACCUCUUCCUUUGUCUACAUGUGUUCAGAACGGCUGCCUCAUUUAUAGUCUGGCACUCAGAACAGAACUAUGAAUCUCUUUUCUGGAAGCGUGUUCCAACACCAAGUGAGAAGAAGCAGAAGAAAGUCAGGAGGGCCCCAGUGAGCCAGGUAAUGAGGGAUCCAGAUCAGAAGUUUUGGAUGGGAAAGCCGUCACUCAUGUCCACCCCCACAAUAAAUGACUCAACCUUCUGGAGAAGAAGCAAUGGCUGAAACUUACUGUUUGAGUUCAAGCAGACUGUGUCACAAGCUUAGGAGGAUUGGUUACUCUUAUAGGCACAAUGUCUACUGUCCUCCAAAGAUUAAAUGCCUCUAUUACUUUCUGUGUGACAUCUUUCACCUGGAUCCCUUUAUCUCUCAAUACUAACUUCAUAUUGGAAACCAUUUCGGUUAAAAUGUGUAGCAAGAGUGUACUUGUGUAUAUUAAAAACUUCAAACUCCAAUUUCAGCUAUUUUUGUGGCACUUUUGGUGGGCUUUGAUGAGAUAAAUUAAGUCUAUUUUUCUCCUGA